rnacentral:rRNA from 1 species
CAGCUCGUGUUGUGAAAUGUUGGGUUAAGUCCCGCAACGAGCGCAACCCUUAUCCUUUGUUGCCAGCGGUCCGGCCGGGAACUCAAAGGAGACUGCCAGUGAUAAACUGGAGGAAGGUGGGGAUGACGUCAAGUCAUCAUGGCCCUUACGACCAGGGCUACACACGUGCUACAAUGGCGCAUACAAAGAGAAGCGACCUCGCGAGAGCAAGCGGACCUCAUAAAGUGCGUCGUAGUCCGGAUUGGAGUCUGCAACUCGACUCCAUGAAGUCGGAAUCGCUAGUAAUCGUGGAUCAGAAUGCCACGGUGAAUACGUUCCCGGGCCUUGUACACACCGCCCGUCACACCAUGGGAGUGGGUUGCAAAAGAAGUAGGUAGCUUAACCUUCGGGAGGGCGCUUACCACUUUGUGAUUCAUGACUGGGGUGAAGUCGUAACAAGGUAACCGUAGGGGAACCUGCGGUUGGAUCAC